rnacentral:rRNA from 1 species
AAGUUUACUUUGGUUUCCGGAAAGCGGCGCAAGGGAGAGUAACGAGUAGUUAUCUACCCCAAGGCCCGGAAUAGCUGCGGGAAACUGCAGGUAAUGCCGGAUAAUAUCCCCGGAUCAAAGGUGUGAUUCCGCCUUGGGAGGAGACUGCUUUGUACUAGCUUGUUGGUAGGGUAAUGGCCUACCAAGGCUACGAUGCAUAGCGGGCGUGAGAGCGUGGCCCGUCUCACUGGGACUGAAACACUGCCCAAACACCUACGGGUGGCUGCAGUCGAGAAUCUUCGGCAAUGGGCGAAAGCCUGACCGAGCAAUGCCGCGUGCGGGAUGAAGGCCCUCGGGUUGUAAACCGCUGUCGUAGGGGAGAAAGGUCUCAUGAAGAAUGAGAUUUGAUCUAUCCUAGGAGGAAGUCCGGGCUAAGUUCGUGCCACCAGCCGCGGUAACACGAACCGGACAAACGUUAUUCGGAAUUAUUGGGCUUAAAGGGUGCGUACGCGGUGCGGUAAGUGAGGUGUGAAAGCCCUCGGCUCAACCGAGGAAUUGCGCUGCAUACUGCCGUGCUAUAGGGAGACAGAGGUAAGCGGAGCUGAUGGUGGAGCGGUGAAAUGCGUUGAUAUCAUCAGGAACACCGGUGGCG